rnacentral:rRNA from 1 species
AUUGAACGCUGGCGGCAGGCCUAACACAUGCAAGUCGAGCGGAUGACGGGAGCUUGCUCCUUGAUUCAGCGGCGGACGGGUGAGUAAUGCCUAGGAAUCUGCCUGGUAGUGGGGGACAACGUUUCGAAAGGAACGCUAAUACCGCAUACGUCCUACGGGAGAAAGCAGGGGACCUUCGGGCCUUGCGCUAUCAGAUGAGCCUAGGUCGGAUUAGCUUGUUGGUGAGGUAAUGGCUCACCAAGGCGACGAUCCGUAACUGGUCUGAGAGGAUGAUCAGUCACACUGGAACUGAGACACGGUCCAGACUCCUACGGGAGGCAGCAGUGGGGAAUAUUGGACAAUGGGCGAAAGCCUGAUCCAGCCAUGCCGCGUGUGUGAAGAAGGUCUUCGGAUUGUAAAGCACUUUAAGUUGGGAGGAAGGGCAGUAAGUUAAUACCUUGCUGUCUUGACGUUACCGACAGAAUAAGCACCGGCUAACUCUGUGCCAGCAGCCGCGGUAAUACAGAGGGUGCAAGCGUUAAUCGGAAUUACUGGGCGUAAAGCGCGCGUAGGUGGUUUGUUAAGUUGGAUGUGAAAGCCCCGGGCUCAACCUGGGAACUGCAUCCAAAACUGGCAAGCUAGAGUACGGUAGAGGGUGGUGGAAUUUCCUGUGUAGCGGUGAAAUGCGUAGAUAUAGGAAGGAACACCGGUGGCGAAGGCGACCACCUGGACUGAUACUGACACUGAGGUGCGAAAGCGUGGGGAGCAAA